GCUGCAGCUCGCAGGACGAUUGCUGCCGGCGUUGCGAUCGCCAUGCGGAGACGUCCGCGAAUGGCGCCGUGCGUGACGGCGCUCGCGGCG
rnacentral:tRNA from 1 species